GAUGAAGAACGUAGCGAAAUGCGAUAAGUAGUGUGAAUUGCAGAAUUCAGUGAAUCAUCGAAUCUUUGAACGCACAUUGCGCCCCAUGGUAUUCCGUGGGGCAUGCCUGUUCGAGCGUCAUUUACCCCCUCAAGCUCCGCUUGGUGUUGGGCGUCUAUCCCGCUUCGCGCGCGGACUCGCCCCAAAGGUAUUGGCAGCGGUCGUGCCAGCUUCUCGCGCAGCACAUUGCGCUUCUCGAGGCACCGGUGGGCCCGCGUCCAUCAAGCUCACCCCCCCAGUUUGACCUCGGAUCAGGUAGGGAUACCCGCUGAACUUAAGCAUAUCAAUAAGCGGAGGA
rnacentral:misc_RNA from 1 species